UUUAUUUACUUCGAGAUCAUUCACAUCGUGCUGAACAUGGAACACAUUCAUUUUAUUCCGCUUCUUUUAGCGUCACUUUGCUUCAAAUUAUCAAUGACCUACGAUGUCGUUAUCGAGUCCAUGUUUCCAGAUUCACGAACAGAUCCGGAAAGGGUAGAUUUUGGUACACUUCGCAUAACUCGUGUUGGUCGUAACAAUUUCACAAUAUCUGGUACAUUAAGCAUCCGUAAAUCAAUGGGCAAUGAAGCACGAAUUCUGAUGGAAGUUUCGAAGAAAAACGCCGCCGGAAUUGGCUACAACCAGUAUAUUGCUAGAAACGAACAACCACUCUGCCACUUUUUUGAUUCUGAAGACAGUUUCAUUCCUCUUUUGAGAAAUGUAUCGAACUUCCCCGAGAAAGGUACAUGUCCAUUUCCCAGGGAUGAUAUCACCAUAAAUAAUUUCAAAUUCGACGAGAAAAUGUUACCACUUGUGGUGCCCAAAGGUUCGUACGUCUUAAAUACCCAACUAUUAGAGGAGAAUCGCAUAUUUGGAGGAAUUUCCGUUACUCUAGUCGUAAACUAGAACCCUCACCCGGCAAAACGAAUUAUCCCAAUUAUCUCAACAGCGAUGACACACGAAAUUGCCGCAGCCACUAAAUCGAACUGUCAUAAAGUUCACAUAUCCACGGCUUAAUAAUACAUUUCGUUUGAAAAUAUAAAUUCAACUUCCUCUCUGCACGAAAAAAAACUCAGGAAACAGCUAAUUAAAUUAGUUCGAAACCAACGUUUGCGGCGAACGGAAAAUUUGCCCCGGCCCAGAAGAAAAGAAUAUUUAUUGGCGGCAGCAACCGAAAUGGGGUGCAACAGCGAGUGGCAAAAGUUUUACCCAAUAUAGGCACGUUGAAACGGAAAUUAACCUCUUUUUUUCGGGGGACUUGUUACCUUAUUGUCCCGGGCUCUACACUUGUUCGGCAUGCAAUCUCUUCCUGUGCUCACAUUAGACAAUGCGGUUGUCUGCUUGAGUCACAGGGGAAAGCGGAGUAAAACCAACACCAUAGUGGCUAACAAUCUAGCAAUUGAUGAGAUCGCCCGAUGAUACAUUAAGGUAGGAUUGAGUGUUAAAUAAAUACAAUCAUAUGUCAUCAUU